rnacentral:rRNA from 1 species
UACGGGGGGGGGCAAGCGUUGUUCGGAAUUACUGGGCGUAAAGGGCUCGUAGGCGGCCAACUAAGUCGGAUGUGAAAUCCCCAAGCUUAACUUGGGAACUGCAUCCGAUACUGGAUGGCUUGAAUCCGGGAGAGGGAUGCAGAAUUCCAGGUGUAGCGGUGAAAUGCGUAGAUAUCUGGAGGAAUACCGGUGGCGAAGGCGGCAUCCUGGACCGGCAUUGACGCUGAGGAGCGAAAGCUAGGGGAGCAAACGGGAUUAGA